UGCUCAUCAGUUUUCGAAAAUUUACUUGUCUCCAAAAUGAGUUUCAGCUCCUCGUACCACAGCUUUCUCUCAACAUAAAUUUCCCUUGCACCUCUAAUGAAUCUUUCCUGGCUGUCUGUCCCAAUUCUUCUCUCUGACAUACAAAGCAAGGGAAGAAUUAUUACCAGGUAAACCCAAAGGCGAUCAGGCUCUUCACUGUUUUUUUUCUUUUUUCCCAGUGAUUCGCUUGCUCUUUCCGCAGCAUAUUUUCCUGAGAAAAUCUACCAACUGCAAGAUAUGAAGAGAACUAGGGACGAUACUUAUGCUUCUUCUCAAUUAAAGCGACCCAUGGGUUCUUCACGCGGGGAUUCCUAUGGCCAAUCCCAAAUCCCUGGAGGAGGG